rnacentral:rRNA from 1 species
UGAGGAAUAUUGCGCAAUGGGGGAAACCCUGACGCAGCAACGCCGCGUGGGUGAAGAAGGCCUUCGGGUCGUGAAGCCCUUUCGGACGGGACGAACGCUCCGCGGGGACAAGCCGCGGAGUCUGACGGUACCGUAGGAAGAAGCACCGGCUAACUCCGUGCCAGCAGCCGCGGUAAUACGGAGGGUGCGAGCGUUGUUCGGAAUUACUGGGCGUAAAGCGCGUGUAGGCGGCUUUGCAAGCCAGACGUGAAAGCCCUCGGCUUAACCGGGGAAGUGCGUCUGGAACUGCUUGGCUUGAGUACGGGAGAGGGAGGCGGAAUUCCCAGUGUAGAGGUGAAAUUCGUAGAUAUUGGGAGGAACACCGGUGGCGAAAGCGGCCUCCUGGACCGAUACUGACGCUGAGACGCGAAAGCGUGGGGAGCAAACAGGAUUAGAUACCCUGGUAGUCCACGCGGUAAACGAUGGGCACUAGGUGUGGGGGGUAGUCCGACUCCUCCCGUGCCGAAGCUAACGCA